UUAGUACUCCCUCCGUCCGAAAAUACUUGUCGGGGGAAUGGAUGUAUCUAGACGUAUUUUAGUUCUAGAUACAUCCAUUUUUAUGCAUUUCUCCGACAAGUAUUUCCGGACGGAGGGAGUAAUAU
rnacentral:pre_miRNA from 1 species